GCGGGGUUAGUGUAGUUAGUUAUCACGUCAGUCUAACAUACCAGUUCUAAGCAAUUAGAACUCUUGAAGAGCACUGAAGGUCGCGAGUUCAAGUCUCGCAUCCCGUA